rnacentral:rRNA from 1 species
ACGGGAGGCAGCAGUGGGGAAUAUUGCACAAUGGGGGAAACCCUGAUGCAGCGACGCCGCGUGAGUGAAGAAGUAUUUCGGUAUGUAAAGCUCUAUCAGCAGGAAAGAAAAUGACGGUACCUGAUUAAGAAGCCCCGGCUAACUACGUGCCAGCAGCCGCGGUAAUACGUAGGGGGCAAGCGUUAUCCGGAUUUACUGGGUGUAAAGGGAGCGUAGACGGUAAGGCAAGUCUGAAGUGAAAUGCCAGGGCUCAACCCUGGAACUGCUUUGGAAACUGUCCUACUAGAGUGCAGGAGAGGUAAGUGGAAUUCCUAGUGUAGCGGUGAAAUGCGUAGAUAUUAGGAGGAACACCAGUGGCGAAGGCGGCUUACUGGACUGUAACUGACGUUGAGGCUCGAAAGCGUGGGGAGCAAACAGGAUUAGAUACCCUGGUA